GGUUUGAUUAUGGCUCAGAUUGAACGCUGGCGGGAUGCUUUACACAUGCAAGUCGAACGGCAGCACGGACUUCGGUCUGGUGGCGAGUGGCGAACGGGUGAGUAAUGUAUCGGAACGUGCCCUAGUAGCGGGGGAUAACUACGCGAAAGCGUAGCUAAUACCACGCUACGCCCUUCGGGGGAAAGCAGGGGACCUUCGGGCCUCGCACUAUUAGAGCGGCCGAUAUCGGAUUAGCUAGUUGGUGGAGUAACGACUCGCAAGGCGACGAUCCGUAGCUGGUUUGAGGACGACCAGCCACACUGGGACUGAGACACGGCCCAGACUCCUGGGAGGCAGCAGUGGGGGAAUUUUGGACAAUGGAAACCCUGAUCCAGCCAUCCCGCGUGUGCGAUGAAGGCCUUCGGGUUGUAAAGCACUUUUGGCAGGAAAGAAACGGCACGGGAUAAUACCCCGUGCAACUGACGGUACCUGCAGAAUAAGCACCGGCUAACUACGUGCCAGCAGCCGCGGUAAUAUAGGGUGCAAGCGUUAAUCAGGUACUGGGCGUAAAGCGUGCGCAGGCGGUUCGGAAGAAGAUCUUGAAAUCCCAGAGCUUAACUUUGGAACUGCAUUUUUAACUACCGAGCUAGAGUGUGUCAGAGGGAGGUGGAAUUCCGCGUGUAGCAGUGAAAUGCGUAGAUAUGCGGAGGAACACCACCGAUGGCGAAGGCAGCCUCCUGGGAUAACACUGACGCUCAUGCACGAAAGCGUGGGGAGCAAGCGGAUUAGAUACCCUGGUAGUCCACGCCUAAACGAUAUCAACUAGCUGUUGGGGCCUUCGGGCCUUGGUAGCGCAACUAACGCGUGAAGUUGACCGCCUGGGGAUACGGUCGCAAGAUUAAAACUCAAAGGAAUUGAGCGGGGACCCGCACAAGCGGUGGAUGAUGUGGAUUAAUUCGAUGCAACGCGAAAAACCUUACCUACCCUUGACAUGUCUGGAAUCCCGAAGAGAUUUGGGAGUGCUCGCAAAGAGAACCGGAACACAGGUGCUGCAUGGCUGUCGUCAGCUCGUGUCGUGAGAUGUUGGGUUAAGUCCCGCAACGAGGCACAACCCUUGUCAUUAGUUGCUACGAAAGAGGCACUCUAAUGAGACUGCCGGUGACAAACCGGAGGAAGGUGGGGAUGACGUCAAGUCCUCAUGGCCCUUAUGGGUAGAGACUUCACGUCAUACAAUGGUCGGGACAGAGGGUCGCCAACCCGCGAGGAGCCAAUCCCGAAACCCGAUCGUAGUCCGGAUCGCAGUCUGCAACUCGACUGCGUGAAGUCCGAAUCACCGCUAGUAAUCGCGGAUCAGCAUGUCGCGGUGAAUACGUUCCCGGGUCUUGUACACACCGCCCGUCACACCAUGGGAGUGGGUUUACCAGAAGUAGUUAGCCUAACCGUAAGGAGGGCGAUUACCACGGUAGGAUUCAUGACUGGGGGUGAAGUCGUAACAAGGUAA
rnacentral:rRNA from 1 species